UACGACCAUAUCCCAUUGAAACACAGGUUCUCAUACGAUCAUCAAACUUAAGCAAAGUCGACCCUGGCCAGUACCGAGAUGGAUGACUGCUUGGGAAUAUCUGGUGCUGUAAG